UACUAGGAUAUGACCAGCAAGGAGAUGGAUACACAGGUUAAACCAGUACUAACGGAGCCGCGGCACCGCGCUCUUAUGACAAUGUAGUAAUACAACAGCAACAAACACAACCAGGUUAUUGUGGGUCGCCCUACUCUUUCGAGCCGACUGCAACUGUGGUUUUGAAUCAACCACCUGAGGCUAGAGAAAUAAUUGUUAAAAAGCAAACCGCUGAUUACAUGGUACCUUCAAUAAUUGCGUGUAUUCUUUGCUUCUGACCUACGGGCCUUUGUGCUAUCUACUAUGCAAACGAGGC